rnacentral:rRNA from 1 species
CGAAGGGGGCUAGCGUUGUUCGGAAUUACUGGGCGUAAAGGGCGCGUAGGCGGCCUUGAUAGUUGGGCGUGAAAGGCCUGGGCUUAACCCGGGAACUGCGUUCAAUACUGCGAGGCUAGAGUGUGGGAGAGGUUGGUGGAAUUCCCAGUGUAGAGGUGAAAUUCGUAGAUAUUGGGAAGAACACCGGUGGCGAAGGCGGCCAACUGGACCACAACUGACGCUGAGGCGCGAAAGCGUGGGGAGCAAACAGGAUUAGAUACCCUGGUAGUCCACGCUGUAAACUAUGUGUGCUUGACGUCGGGGGGCCUAGCCCUUCGGUGUCGGAGCUAACGCGGUAAGCACACCGCCGUGGGGAGUACGGUCGCAAGAAUUA